rnacentral:rRNA from 1 species
UGCAAGUCGAACGCACAGCGAAAGGUGCUUGCACCUUUCAAGUGAGUGGCGAACGGGUGAGUAACACGUGGACAACCUGCCUCAAGGCUGGGGAUAACAUUUGGAAACAGAUGCUAAUACCUGAAUAAAACUUAGUGUCGCAUGACACAAAGUUAAAAGGCGCUUCGGCGUCACCUAGAGAUGGAUCCGCGGUGCAUUAGUUAGUUGGUGGGGUAAAGGCCUACCAAGACAAUGAUGCAUAGCCGAGUUGAGAGACUGAUCGGCCACAUUGGGACUGAGACACGGCCCAAACUCCUACGGGAGGCUGCAGUAGGGAAUCUUCCACAAUGGGCGAAAGCCUGAUGGAGCAACGCCGCGUGUGUGAUGAAGGCUUUCGGGUCGUAAAGCACUGUUGUAUGGGAAGAACAGCUAGAAUAGGAAAUGAUUUUAGUUUGACGGUACCAUACCAGAAAGGGACGGCUAAAUACGUGCCAGCAGCCGCGGUAAUACGUAUGUCCCGAGCGUUAUCCGGA